AGCCUCGUCCGCCGCCCUCCACCCCACCCGCCGCGUCCACCCUCGCGGCGGACACCCCAUCCACUAUAAUCGCCGCGCCUUCCGCCCCUCCAUCGCCCCGCUCGCGGCGACCGCCGCGUCCACCUUAUAGUGGACGCUCUUAGGGCCACCGUCAGGUGACUCAAGCAAGGUUGGGCAUCUAACAUCAUUCGAAGGAGCUAAUCAGAGAUUGCGAUUACACGAAGCCGACUUACUCGAGGAAGGAUCCUUCGAUUCUGUAGUUGAUGGCUGCCAAACAGUAUUCCACACUGCGUCACCCGUUGCCCCUUUCCGUUUCUGAUCCACAGGAUUGGUAUUCUCUGUCUAAAACUCUAGCCGAGACAGCCGCAUGGAAAAUGGCGCGAGAGAAUGGGCUCGAUUUUGUUACAUUACAUCCAGGCUUCACCAUUGGCCAUCCGCUGCAGGCAUUUUUACUACGAUUAGACUCACUGUAUUGCAUAUGAAGGAUUAUAUGAUCUGAGGAAUAAUUGCAGAGCAACGGAGGAUCGGCCGGCUAAGCAGCCUUACCAAAUAUCUAGAGAGAGAGCUGAAAGUUUGGGCAUCACUUUUAGGCCUCUUGAGGUCCACGAACUUUGUCAAAGUAUCAUUUUAGGUCCGUGAAUUUUGAAAAUAUCAUUUGAGG